rnacentral:rRNA from 1 species
GUCGAGCGAGGUCCAUCCAGUGGUAACACUGGUGAAGACCUAGCGGCGAACGGGUGAGUAACACGUGAGAAACCUGCCCCGAAGACUGGGAUAACUCUCCGAAAGGAGAGCUAAUACCAGAUGCCCUCACCGGGCCGCAUGACUUGGUGAGGAAAUGGAUUCCGCUUCGGGAGGGUCUCGCGGCCUAUCAGCUUGUUGGUGAGGUAACGGCUCACCAAGGCUUCGACGGGUAGCUGGUCUGAGAGGAUGAUCAGCCACACUGGGACUGAGACACGGCCCAGACUCCUACGGGAGGCAGCAGUGGGGAAUCUUGCGCAAUGGGCGAAAGCCUGACGCAGCAACGCCGCGUGGGGGAUGAAGGCUCUCGGGUUGUAAACCCCUUUCAGCAGGGAAGAUUAUGACGGUACCUGCAGAAGAAGCCCCGGCCAACUACGUGCCAGCAGCCGCGGUAAUACGUAGGGGGCAAGCGUUGUCCGGAUUUAUUGGGCGUAAAGAGCUUGUAGGCGGCUUGGUAAGUCGAGUGUGAAAACUCCAGGCUCAACCUGGAGACGCCAUUCGAUACUGCCAUGGCUAGAGUCCGGUAGAGGAGCACGGAAUUCCUGGUGUAGCGGUGAAAUGCGCAGAUAUCAGGAGGAACACCAGCAGCGAAGGCGGUGCUCUGGGCCGGUACUGACGCUGAGAAGCGAAAGCGUGGGGAGCGAACAGGAUUAGAUACCCUGGUAGUCCACGCCGUAAACGUUGGGCACUAGGUGUGGGUCCCUAUCGACGGGAUCUGUGCCGUAGCUAACGCAUUAAGUGCCCCGCCUGG